AUGGGAACUCAUAAAGAUUGUAACCCAUUAAGAUAUGCAAAAUGAAUGAAAGAAAACAACUUUCGUCUAUUUAGUCUUAAACAUACUAUAUACUAUAAAAGAUUUAAUCAUAACUGAAAAAAAGUCAUGAAUGAAUUCAAUCCAAUGAUUGUAAGACACCAACUAGAACCAUUGGAAACAAAAGGUUUGUUUGGAGCAAACGCAUUUGCUCUCUUCNNNN
rnacentral:lncRNA from 1 species